UACAGAGGUCUCAACCGUUGUUCGGAUUCAUUGGGCGUAAAGGGUGCGUAGGCGGUCGCGUAAGUCAGGUGUGAAAUCUCAGGGCUCAACCCUGAAACUGCACUUGAUACUGCGUAGCUCGGGUACUGGAGAGGAGACUGGAAUUUACGGUGUAGCAGUGAAAUGCGUAGAUAUCGUAAGGAAGACCAGUGGCGAAGGCGAGUCUCUGGACAGUUCCUGACGCUGAGGCACGAAGGUCAGGGGAGCAAACGGG
rnacentral:rRNA from 1 species